GUGGGGAAUAUUGCACAAUGGGGGGAACCCUGAUGCAGCGACGCCGCGUGAGCGAAGAAGUAUCUCGGUAUGUAAAGCUCUAUCAGCAGGGAAGAAAGUGACGGUACCUGACUAAGAAGCCCCGGCUAACUACGUGCCAGCAGCCGCGGUAAUACGUAGGGGGCAAGCGUUAUCCGGAUUUACUGGGUGUAAAGGGAGCGCAGGCGGCGCGGUAAGUCUGAUGUGAAAGCCCGGGGCUCAACCCCGGGACUGCAUUGGAAACUGUCGUGCUGGAGUGUCGGAGGGGCAAGUGGAAUUCCUAGUGUAGCGGUGAAAUGCGUAGAUAUUAGGAGGAACACCAGUGGCGAAGGCGGCUUGCUGGACGACAACUGACGCUGAGGCUCGAAAGCGUGGGGAGCAAACAGG
rnacentral:rRNA from 1 species